rnacentral:rRNA from 1 species
GGAAGUAAAAGUCGUAACAAGGUCUCCUUCCGUAGGUGAUGCCUGGGAAGCCUUAGCAGCCUGAAAGGGUACGCUCCGCGACUUGGAAUAAACAAUGGAGAUUUUAAAUGCUAGUCAGCCGUCGUGCUGGCCACACCGUCAAAUUGCGGGAAGCUCCUAAAGCUCUCAGCUACCAAGCAGCGUCGGGAAACCGCGCUGUGGCCAGGGUAAUGACCUCGGGUAUGGUAACAACGCUGGAGAUGUACCAAUGGAUAAUCCGCAGCCAAGUCCUAAGCCUGGGCCCUCCAGGGACGGAUGCUGUUCACAGACUAAAUGGUGGUGGGUGGAUUUCGGUCCGCUUAAGAUAUAGUCGGCCUCCCCGGGAAACUAGGGAGAGAGUCAUCACUCUGAACGUUCCGUAGGUGAACCUGCGGAAGGAUCAUUAACGAGUUAGGGUCUUCUAGGCCCGACCUCCCAACCCUAUGUUUAUUGAACCUCUGUUGCUUCGGCGGACCCGCCUCACGGCCGCCGGAGGACCGCUGCAAGGCGUCCUCUGGCCAGCGUCCGCCGAUGGCCAACCACUUAAACUCUGAAUGAAUCGUGUCAUAUGUCUAAGUCUAUGAUUAAAUUAAAGCAAAACUUUCAACAACGGAUCUCUUGGUUCUGGCAUCGAUGAAGAACGCAGCGAAAUGCGAUAAGUAAUGCGAAUUGCAGAAUUCCAGUGAGUCAUCGAAUCUUUGAACGCACAUUGCGCCCUUUGGUAUUCCGAAGGGCAUGCCUGUUCGAGCGUCAUUAUCACCCCUCAAGCCCUGUGCUUGGUGUUGGACGGCUGGUCGAGCGAUCGACCCCUCCUAAAGACAAUGACGGCGGCCUGUGGUUCCCCCGGUACACUGAGCUUUUAACUGAGCACGUAUCGGACAAGGGCMCCCGGGACCCGGUCCUCUCCUUUAGCUAGGAAACUUCUAAGGUUGACCUCGGAUCAGGUAGGAAUACGCGCUGAACUUAAGCAUAUCAAUAAGCGCAGGA